rnacentral:lncRNA from 1 species
GCCGGGGCGUCCCCCGCGGGAGCCCGCAGCCACCCGGGACGCGCAUCCAGACGUGGCGCUUCGGACCGGGCACGCUGCGCCCGGGGGCUCGGCGGACCCCGCGUAGCCGCCGCUUCGGAGCUUGUGCGGCGCGGGCUGGCCAGCGGGGCGGCCAGGGCCCGGCCCGCCUCCCCAGCGCCCGCCCGGCUUCUCCCCCUGGCGGUGGGAGCCUCGGCGGCCGCUGGCGACACUAGGCGCACUGAAGCCCGAGCCGAGCCGAGCCCGAGCCGCCGCCGCCGCCGCCGCUGCUGCGCACCGCUCCCGGGCUCCCUCCCAGCGCGCCGGCCGGGGUGUGGGGGGCGGCGGGCCGGAGGGGCGAGGGCGGGCCAGGGGGCGCACACGGGGGUUGGCGCGGAAGACAGGACCCUCAGCCUCGAGGGAGCCCCUAGGUGACCAGGCAAAAUGGCAGUUCCUUCCAGCUGGUCCUCAGAUGGGCACAUCUAUUAGCCUCUGCUCUUGUAAGAAGUUAGCUGCAGAACCCACAUGUGAAUCCUUGUAGGACUCUGGAGAAGAUCAAAUGGGAGCUUAGAUGUGGAAGCUCUUUGGAAACCAAGAAACACUCUGAAAAUGAAAAGGAUACCAACUUCAUCUCUCUUUAAGAAUACAAUAUUAGUUUAAAAGAUUGUUCAACUUAAAGCAAUCUUGUAGAGAUUGUCACCCAUGAUUGAUGCUGGCAUAAGAAUGUUUAUCACAGCAUGGCAUAUAUUGGAAGUUUAGUAAAUGAAGAUACAUCCAAUCUGACAUUCUAUUCACAACCACAAAGAGAUAAUGUAGAAACAUAUUUAGUAAUGUGAGAAAAUACUAAAUAUUAAGUGAAAAAGGUGGAAGAGUAAACUGUUCCUGUUUCUCCAUCUUGACAGGAAGCAGAAGUUCUCCUUAGCUGAUUUUUCUUCUUGCCUUAUACUGGGUUCUUUAACACCAGAACAAAAAUAAAUAAAUAAAAGAAUCUUCCAGAAAUUCAUGAAGAGACUUCAGGUCAGGAAAGCCUGAACUUUCUCAUCCAACACCCGUUCAAGUCGGAGGAUGCUGAUUAAUUCAUGAUGGAAAGGUAUCAAUUUCACAGCCCAGACCUCUACAUUCUUGAAAUGCUCUUCUCAUGGGAGACAUUAAAUAAGCUUUGAAUUAACUGAAUGUACAGGGUGUACCAUGAACAAUUCUGACAUGUGAUUUAAUCUAUGUGGGACUACAUUUUAAAUACAUUUGGGAAGGAUUGAACAAUGAAGUGGAGCCCAUCAAUAUUGGUACUGAAAAUGAGACAGCUCUGAAGUAAGCCCUUAAGUAAAAGUGCCAUCAAAUGAUUUCUCAGAAAUUAUAAAGAAACAAAAGGACCAUAAACAAGAUAAGGUGGCAUGAGGAAACAUUACAAGUACCUUUCAGAGCUGACUGGCAAAGAAACUCCUGAGGUGACGGUUCUACCCCAAUAUUACUUCUUCGAAGAGCAACCUAACUGGACUUAUCUUCCUCAGUUCUCUGUGAUGAACUUUUGUAGAGCCAUACGAAAGGAGGUUUUUAGCUCUCACCUGUGGUCUUUCUUCAUCAUGCACCUCCUAGAUUCAAAAGUUCAGCAGGGACAUGUCAAGCUAUAUAAAUAAAAACAAACUAAGAAAAAAUGUAACAUUCCAUACCUUAAAACGCAACCUUAAUAACGUGAAAGACCCUGAAGGACUUGAGACGUGAAGAUUUUCUACCACGGUCUUUGCCUGUAUUAUUUCUGACAGCUGUUCCUUUCUACUCCCUCUUGCACACAUCUUUAGUUACUCCCUGUUCUCCAUCCCUCUGAUAAAAUCUAGAGUUCCCCCCUCAAAUUAGAAAAUUAAAAAAAAUUAAAAAUCUAAAAUUAAAAUUUAAAAAAUUUUUAAAAAUCUAGAGUUUAAAAAAAAUGUUCUAUCUCAGGCUUGUGAACCAUAUUGUUAGUUCACAAUUAAGAAUGAUGUACAUCUAUUGGACAAGUUUUAAUUAAUUCUUUCCCUUGGCUGAUUAGUAAAUUUCUGCAGUGAGUACAAAUGUU